rnacentral:rRNA from 1 species
AGCGAACGCUGGCGGCAGGCCUAACACAUGCAAGUCGAGCGCCCCGCAAGGGGAGCGGCAGACGGGAGAGUAACACGUGGGAACGUACCCUUUGGUUCGGAACAACCCAGGGAAACUUGGGCUAAUACCGGAUAAGCCCUUACGGGGAAAGAUUCAUCGCCGAAGGAUCGGCCCGCGUCUGAUUAGCUAGUUGGUGGGGUAACGGCCCGCCAAGGCGACGAUCAGUAGCUGGUCUGAGAGGAUGAUCAGCCUCACUGGGACUGAGACACGGCCCAGACUCCUACGGGAGGCAGCAGUGGGGAAUAUUGGACAAUGGGCGCAAGCCUGAUCCAGCCAUGCCGCGUGGGUGAUGAAGGCCCUAGGGUUGUAAAGCCCUUUCGGCGGGGAAGAUAAUGACGGUACCCGCAGAAGAAGCCCCGGCUAACUUCGUGCCAGCCGCCGCCGUAAAAC